CGCCCAAGAGUUCAUAUCGACGGCGGUGUUUGGCACCUCGAUGUCGGCUCAUCACAUCCUGGGGCUGAAGUAGGUCCCAAGGGUAUGGCUGUUCGCCAUUUAAAGUGGUACGCGAGCUGGGUUUAGAACGUCGUGAGACAGUUCGGUCCCUAUCUGCCGUGGGCGCUGGAGAACUGAGGGGGGCUGCUCCUAGUACGAGAGGACCGGAGUGGACGCAUCACUGGUGUUCGGGUUGUCAUGCCAAUGGCAYUGCCCGGUAGCUAAAUGCGGAAGAGAUAAGUGCUGAAAGCAUCUAAGCACGAAACUUGCCCCGAGAUGAGUUCUCCCUGAGACUUAGAGUCUCCUGAAGGAACGUUGAAGACGACGACGUUGAUAGGCCGGGUGUGUAAGCGCAGCGAUGCGUUGAGCUAACCGGUACUAAUGAACCGUGAGGCUUAACCUU
rnacentral:rRNA from 1 species